AUAACAUUUGUACCGUAGACAGCAGGGGCUGUAAAGCUUAAUUUCCUGCCGAGGUAAUUGCGAUAUAGCGAUUCUUUAGGAAUUCGUAUGCAAUGCCUUCAUGUCUAUUAACGAUAUGAAGGCAUUUUUAUUGUGAU
rfam:Bacillus sp. SG-1 1101501000613, whole genome shotgun sequence.